CGAGGUGGCGCGCGGCGGUGGAGCGCGGCCGAGGGUCCCGCACCUCCCAGGUGUGGACUGCAAAAGGAUCCAUUCAGCUCAUGUGGUCCUCACAUCAGAACACAAUUGCACCCAGCACAGAGUGAACUCUCAUGCGGGUACUCUUUGAAGAUCAGAGAGGGGGCCAGGAUGUGGUCCAAGAUUUGCAAAUUUGGGUGAGAAACUUAUAGCCCCCACCUACCCCACCAAUCACUGGAAGCUGCUGACAUUUAUGAGAAGGAGGAGCCGACAGUGGAGGAUGACCAUGAGGGUGGAGGCUCACCACAAACUUGAAACCUUCAAGACCAUUAUCCAUUAACGGGGGAGGAGCACAGGUUCUGUGAGUCACAACUUGAGUUGUAUUAUAUUAAGUAAGGUAAAGACCGUCAACCACGGCAUAUGAGGUCAGGCCACGUUUUGCUGGUGGUUUUUAGAGCUGCUUGGGUUUUAGAAUUGUGGAUAAGGAGUGGUGGACUUGUACACAUUCUAACUCUGGUUUGCUAUUCAGUGUUGAGGAAGUUACUUCCCAGUGCCUCAGGAUAUAGUCACCUAGAUGUUGAGGAAUGACUUAUCUCCAGGAUUAAAGCAGUUGCUGCCACACACAGUGCCAUGAAUUUUAUAAGUAUCCUACAUAUGCGGUUCUUUGAGUGCUCACUACAGCAAUGAAAUCUGGCUAACUUCCCAGAGAGGGAACUGAUUGGAGGAAUAUGGGUGAAUGAAAACACCCAAAGGACGAGCUGAACAGUGAAGAAGAGUAAGACCCAGGGGAGCGGGGGGAGCGGGGAGAAUCAGCUCCUGUAUUUUCUGUGUGUGUUAUGGCAGUCAAAAUUGAGGGCCUGGAGGAGCCAUGUUUGCAAAGCUAAAUCAAAUUUCAGCCUCUUGCCUGAGGAAGCCAGCUCUUUGACUGUAGGAGGAACGGGACAGUUUCCAUCCCUCUACCCAUAACUCCAGCACCAAGAUCAUGUCUGGUGAGGACGAACUCAUUUGCGGUACCUUCUGUCCUCAGUAAAUGAUGCAUUGUAAACUCAUGGGGAAAGGAGCCAUCCAAAGAAAAAUAUGUAUCAUUUAUGUAACAUACCGUUUAAAGGUCUAGUUUCUUGUCUUGGUCCUGCUGCUUAUUAUGUGUGACCUUAAGUGAAUCACUCCAAGUCUCUCAUUUUUAUUUUAUUUUUUAUUUAUUUAUUUUGAGAUGGAGUCUUGCUCUGUCA
rnacentral:lncRNA from 1 species